GAUGAACGCUAGCUACAGGCUUAACACAUGCAAGUCGAGGGGUAACAAGAGGAAAGCUUGCUUUCCUUGUUGACGACCGGCGCACGGGUGAGUAACGCGUAUCCAACCUGCCUAUAACUAGGGAAUAACCUUGUGAAAGUAAGACUAAUACCCUAUGAUUUCCUUUGAUGACAUCAGAUUAGGAAUAAAGAUUUAUCGGUUAUAGAUGGGGAUGCGUCUGAUUAGUUUGUUGGCGGGGUAACGGCCCACCAGGGCAACGAUCAGUAGGGGUUCUGAGAGGAAGGGCCCCCACAUUGGAACUGAGACACGGUCCAAACUCCUACGGGACGCAGCAGUGAGGAAUAUUGGUCAAUGGGCGGAAGCCUGAACCAGCCAAGUAGCGUGCAGGAUGACGGCCCUAUGGGUUGUAAACUGCUUUUAUACAGGAAUAAAGUUAGCCACGUGUGGUUAUUUGUAGGUACUGUAUGAAUAAGGACCGGCUAAUUCCGUGCCAGCCGCCGCCGUAAGAC
rnacentral:rRNA from 1 species